CAUUCUCUGAUUAGCAUGCAGAAGCUUCUAGAAGACAAAAAGACUUCAAAAAAUAGCUCUAAAAAGAACCUUACAGUAUGCAAAUAAAAAAAAAAUCCUUAGUAAAACAGUUUGGCCAUCUGAGCAGGAAGCAAAAAUUCUUGUGGCUUAUGAAAAUAUUUCCAGGGCUUCACAUUGUCUUUAUCAAGUCUUUAAUUACUUAGAAAAAUAAUGGAGUCUCCUCUGUUAAAAGAGAUCUUUAACUAUGGCUAUGUUAAAGUCUUCUGCCACUCACAGAUACUGUUUUACCCUCGAGUCUUCUCUGAAAACACUGACAGUGAACUACAGACAAAAGUGCUUCACCUUUACACAGAUCAUGGAGAAGAUUCUGACAAGUACUCUGAAGUGCAGGAUCCUACUAACUUUAAGAUCAAAACAGGGAACUGGGUAAAGAUUUCUAAAACAUUAAUGGAAACCUGAUUGAUUAAAAAAGCUGCUAAUCCAAGAUGAAGCAAAAUGAAAAUUAAUUACUUAAGACUGAAUCAACUGAUGAGGAUUAUAAUUUUCAUGAGUUCAUUUAAAACAAUGCUAGUUCUGGGGCCCCUGGGUGGCUCAGUGAUUGAGCAUCUGCCUUUGGCUCAGGUCAUGAUCCUGGGGUCCUGAGGUCCUGGGAUCCAGUCCCACAUCGGGCUCCCUGCAUGGAGCCUGCUUCUCC